GACUCCUACGGGAGGCAGCAGUGGGGAAUAUUGCACAAUGGGGGAAACCCUGAUGCAGCCAUGCCGCGUGUGUGAAGAAGGCCUUCGGGUUGUAAAGCACUUUCAGUAGGGAGGAAGGUAGUGUAGUUAACACCUGCACUAUUUGACGUUACCUACAGAAGAAGCACCGGCUAACUCCGUGCCAGCAGCCGCGGUAAUACGGAGGGUGCGAGCGUUAAUCGGAAUUACUGGGCGUAAAGCGCAUGCAGGCGGCCUGUUAAGUCAGAUGUGAAAGCCCGGGGCUUAACCUCGGAAUUGCAUUUGAAACUGGCAGGCUAGAGUCUUGUAGAGGGGGUAGAAUUUCAGGUGUAGCGGUGAAAAUGCGUAGAGAUCUGAAGGAAUACCAGUGGCGAAGGCGGCCCCCUGGACAAAGACUGACGCUCAGAUGCGAAAGCGUGGGGAGCAAACAGGAUUAGAUACCCUGGUAG
rnacentral:rRNA from 1 species